CUCUCAGGCUACAGAUACAGGAUCCAGUACAUAAUGCUCAAAGCAUAAACCCAGAUCAAAUCUCGCUGCAGCAGCAGUAUACAAAGGAGUAGAGAAAAAGCAUGCUGACCGUGCAUUGAAGAGAAGGCACUCGAAAGCCCCUGUUUACCCUUGUUUCAGGCACAAGUACAGUUCUUAGUGCAUGAGUGAUGCAAAAAUAACUGGAGGAUUGCAUCAAGCAUUCAUCCACGGCAAUUUAAAUAAAGAUGAGCUGACGUGAUGGAGAUUAACUGCACUGUAAGAAUGCCUGCAGUGCUCAGCAGAAUGAGGGGCAAGGGAGAAAAAGGACAAGGGGGGGAGUUACACUUCUAGCAAAAGGACAUAUCACUUAGUCCAGCAAAUCAGCAUGCCCAAAAUUUCAUAUUACUGACGUAGAUCUGGCUCUGGCAUGUCUGCAUCAUGCUGUGUAGGCAUUAGGUGCUCUGCAUGUUUAACAUGUGUCUGUAGUCCAGGAGGAAAAUUCUUUCAGUAUAUGAAAGGGAGCUACAGGAAGAAGGGGACAGACUCCUUAGCAAGAUCUGUGGUGACAGAACAAGGGGAAAUGGUUUCAUGCUUAAAGGGGGGAUAUUUAGUUUAGACAUAAGGAAAAAGUCUUUUACAGUGAGGGUGGUGAGACACUGGAACCGGUUGCCCAGAGAGGUGGUGGAUGCCCCAUCCCUGGAGACUGUCAAGGCCAAGCUGGACCAGGUUUUGGGCAACCUGAUCUACCUAUGGAUGUCCCUGUUCACUGCAGAGGAGUUGGACUAGGUGACCUUUAAAGGUCCUUUCUAACUCUAAGGAUUCUAUGAUUCUUCCCCAGAUAGUUACUGGUAGUCUUACUGGGUCAGAAUGAGCCAGGGUUGCCUGCACAUCACUGCUGGCAGAAUUUUUCACCUGAAUCUAUAAGCCAACUCUUUUUCAUUUAGAAAGCCAGGGAGAAUUCGGUCAGGCUCUGAAGAAUGAGGAGCUUCCACAGCUGCUGCCCUCUAGCCUUUAUGGACAUCAGAGAGACUGCACGGCCCUAGAAUGAAACCAUUUUAUAUUUAGUAUCCACAGUGAAAAGAAAAGAAAAAAACAAAAAAACAAGAGAAAAUGGAUCGGUGUAAACAUUGGCUUUGCAGAGAACUGUAAUGGGUAAUGGCUGAGGAAAUCAUCUUGCAAAGUCACUGAAGAAGCCAAAAUAUGAAUUCCUUUGCCCCCGGUGCAUGUCAGCCCAAUGCCCACCUCAUGAGACCUCAUAAAACACAAGGAACGGUUCCCAAGUCCUGAAGGCAAAUCUGCACAAGAUUUAAAAUGUCGGGAUAAGGCUGCUGCCCGAGCUGGGAGAAGAAAUCAUAACUGGAACGAGGAGGUGUUCACCUAUUGGUUGGCUCUGGAGGAAGAGCUGGUAUACUCUGCCAGGGCCUUUGAGUGCUGCUAACGGGCAGGAUAAGAAAUAGGACAGUGAGCCUCAAGAAUUUUAUUCCAAGCUUUCUACCAGGCAAGGAAAAUUGGGUCUUUCAUUUUCUAGAGAUAGCAAAAGAGAGCAAGUAUCCGCUGCCAUUAUGUUUCACACUGACAGUGAGUUAACACCUCUGCAGACAAACUCGAAGCUUGGAUAUGCAGCUCUGGGAGGAGAGGUUCAGCUACCUGUAUGACAAAUAUCUGCCAGCUGGGUUUCAACACACGGAAAGUACAACUGCAGCCGUUGCUCUGCAUCAACACAUUUGGUCUUGCAAGUCUUUCAAAAACAAGAAUUUUUUAACAGGAAUUUGUCACGAAAUUUGAACGAAGUACCAUUUGGGUUAACAAAAAGAAAAGGGUCAAAGAUGCAAAUUAAAUGAGGGAAAAGAAAAGAAACCUCUUAGGUACAGCAGACAAAACACAUUCUGAACCCCUAGUUCUGCUGCAGCACUGUGUGGCUGACAUGGAGGAACAGAUAUUUUUGUUAGACAGCUCCACAGCAGCCCUGUUUGAUGACUUGAAAGCUGGGGAAAACUCACAUCACCCCAUCAAACACUUCUUCAUCCAUCAAGAAGACCAAGAGAUCUGACUUGGUAGUGAUUUCAGUAGUGUACUAAAGAGCCUGUGUUGUUUUAAGUACAAGUGAUCCCGCUGAUUAGAUAGAAAGCACUAGAAAGAAAAGAAAAAAAAAAAGAUCACAGGUGUUCACAAGUGUGAAUUUAGUGAAAAUUACCCAGAGGUUGAAUUUAAUUGGAAAUCUUAACGUUGUAUGUUCAGGUCUAAUAGUGCCUUGCCAUGCUAAGAAUCCAAAUGCAACGGUACAGAGUGAAAAAGAAAGAAAGCCUUAAAAUCAACAUAGUUAGGAGACGCAUCACCAAAACCUCACAUAGAGAUAUCUGGCAUGGAAGUGCUAAAAGAAGUACUUUGCCAAACACUUGUUGGAAAGGACAAAUGUUGUUUUCACUCAAGUCUAUGAAAUGAAGGGGGAAAAGGAAAACAAAACAAAACAAAACAACAAAAACAGCCCAGGAGCUAUUAUUUGUAGCUGUGCUUUCUCUGCAGACUUUGCCUGUCCAAAGGUACCACGCUGGUUAUCACUUUGAAUUGGAGAAAUCCAGAUUUUCUUCCACUCCGCAGCAAUGCCGGAGCGCACACAGUGAUUUCUGUCUGCGUCAGAAAGACUUCAGAUGGAAAGCUAACGUAAAGAGCUUCAGAACACAGACAUCACAAAUAGAUAAUUAAUCUAUGCAGAAAAAAAGAACCCACAACAGGAGCCCAUUGUAAGAUUUCAGAGCUGCUGAGAGCAUACUUGCAAGAAAUUAUCGCUCCUACAGUGGUUACCGUUUUUCUGUAUUCUUUAAACAUUCUGACUUAAAAUCUCAAAAUGCGUUCCUAUGUCAGUGACAAUCUUAAUAGAGCCCAAUUAGUUCCACAAGGCACUCUGUGAUGCACAAGCCCCUGCCUUGAUUGCGGUGAAUGGUGGGUAUUUCCUGUGUUUAAGUCCACAUAUGGAUCGAGUAAGGCGGUGGCAGAGAGACUACUGUUUUCCUUCACUACAUCUUCAUUUCUUUUUCACAGGCUAAGCCUUUUUUGUUUUUCCUGGCUCUGUUGUCAAAACACUGACCAGAGUUUUGGCUCAUGGUAUUGGAACGGGAGGCCAAAACAAUCCUCUGGAAACCAGUGUGGCAAAAUGUAUUUUAGAUCUCUACAUUCACCGUUCAGCCAUGCG
ensembl:lncRNA